GUAGGUGGCAAGCGUUGUCCGGAAUUAUUGGGCGUAAAGCGCGCGCAGGCGGUUCGUUUAAGUCUGAUGUGAAAGCCCACGGGCUCAACCGUGGAGGGUCAUUGGAAACUGGAGAACUUGAGUACAGAAGAGGAAAGCGGAAUUCCACGUGUAGCGGUGAAAUGCGUAGAGAUGUGGAGGAACACCAGUGGCGAAGGCGGCUUUCUGGUCUGUAACUGACGCUGAGGCGCGAAAGCGUGGGGAGCAAACAGGAUUAGAUACCCUGGUAGUCCACGCCGUAAACGAUGAGUGCUAAGUGUUAGGGGGUUUCCGCCCCUUAGUGCUGCAGCUAACGCAUUAAGCACUCCGCCUGGGGAGUACGGCCGCAAGGCUA
rnacentral:rRNA from 1 species